rnacentral:rRNA from 1 species
ACGGGUGAGUAAUGUCUGGGAAACUGCCUGAUGGAGGGGGAUAACUACUGGAAACGGUAGCUAAUACCGCAUAACGUCGCAAGACCAAAGAGGGGGACCUUCGGGCCUCUUGCCAUCAGAUGUGCCCAGAUGGGAUUAGCUAGUAGGUGGGGUAACGGCUCACCUAGGCGACGAUCCCUAGCUGGUCUGAGAGGAUGACCAGCCACACUGGAGCUGAGACACGGUCCAGACUCCUACGGGAGGCAGCAUG